rnacentral:rRNA from 1 species
UGGGGAAUAUUGCACAAUGGGCGCAAGCCUGAUGCAGCCAUGCCGCGUGUGUGAAGAAGGCCUUCGGGUUGUAAAGCACUUUCAGCGGGGAGGAAGGCGUUAAGGUUAAUAACCUUGGCGAUUGACGUUACCCGCAGAAGAAGCACCGGCUAACUCCGUGCCAGCAGCCGCGGUAAUACGGAGGGUGCAAGCGUUAAUCGGAAUUACUGGGCGUAAAGCGCACGCAGGCGGUCUGUCAAGUCGGAUGUGAAAUCCCCGGGCUCAACCUGGGAACUGCAUUCGAAACUGGCAGGCUAGAGUCUUGUAGAGGGGGGUAGAAUUCCAGGGGGAGCGGUGAAAUGCGUAGAGAUCUGGGGGAAUACCGGUGGCGAAGGCGGCCCCCUGGACAAAGACUGACGCUCAGGUGCGAAAGCGUGGGGAGCAAACAGG